UUAAUUGAAGAGUUUGAUCAUGGCUCAGAUUGAACGCUGGCGGCAGGCCUAACACAUGCAAGUCGAGCGGCAGCACAGAGAAACUUGUUUCUCGGGUGGCGAGCGGCGGACGGGUGAGUAAUGCCUGGGAAAUUGCCCUGAUGUGGGGGAUAACCAUUGGAAACGAUGGCUAAUACCGCAUGAUAGCUACGGCUCAAAGAGGGGGACCUUCGGGCCUCUCGCGUCAGGAUAUGCCCAGGUGGGAUUAGCUAGUUGGUGAGGUAAGGGCUCACCAAGGCGACGAUCCCUAGCUGGUCUGAGAGGAUGAUCAGCCACA
rnacentral:rRNA from 1 species